GACGAACGCUGGCGGCGUGCUUAACACAUGCAAGUCGAACGGAAAGGCCCUGCUUUUGUGGGGUGCUCGAGUGGCGAACGGGUGAGUAACACGUGAGUAACCUGCCCUUGACUUUGGGAUAACUUCAGGAAACUGGGGCUAAUACCGGAUAGGAGCUCCUGCUGCAUGGUGGGGGUUGGAAAGUUUCGGCGGUUGGGGAUGGACUCGCGGCUUAUCAGCUUGUUGGUGGGGUAGUGGCUUACCAAGGCUUUGACGGGUAGCCGGCCUGAGAGGGUGACCGGCCACAUUGGGACUGCGAUACGGCGCAGACUCCUACGGGAGGCAGCAGUGGGGAAUAUUGCACAAUGGGCGGAAGCCUGAUGCAGCAACGCCGCGUGCGGGAUGACGGCCUUCGGGUUGUAAACCGCUUUCGCCUGUGACGAAGCGUGAGUGACGGUAAUGGGUAAAGAAGCACCGGCUAACUACGUG
rnacentral:rRNA from 1 species